rnacentral:lncRNA from 1 species
UGAUUCUGACAUAUGUCGUUGAGGAGGGGAGGGAUGACUGCCCCUGUUUUACUUAUGGAGAACCUGGGGCCAGAGCUGUUUUCCCAGGGUGACACAGGCGGUGUAUACAGAGCUCUAACUGUCCUGUUCCAUCCAAAGGGGGAAAACCAAGAAGCACUUGUGAAGUUAACAUUUCAGAGACAGAGGAUCACUAAAAGGCUGAGACCUAAUCAUAGGACUGUGAUCACUCUUCUGUCCUUUGCCACCU